CAUGUAGGCGGAUUAAUAAGUUUGAAGUGAAAUCCUAUAGCUUAACUAUAGAACUGCUUUGAAAACUGUUAAUCUAGAAUGUGGGAGAGGUAGAUGGAAUUUCUGGUGUAGGGGUAAAAUCCGUAGAGAUCAGAAGGAAUACCGAUCGCGAAGGCGAUCUACUGGAACAUUAUUGACGCUGAGAUGCGAAAGCGUGGGGAGCAAACA
rnacentral:rRNA from 1 species